UAUUAUUCCAAGAUGAAUUUUUAUCCUAGGUUAGUAAUAGAUAUUUACUUAAAAGUUAAAAAAUUUGGCGGUAAUUUAAUCUUUUCAGAGGAACUUGUUUUUUAAUCGAUAAUCCCCGAAGUAUCUUACUUAUUUUUGUAAAGUUUGUAUACCAUCAUUAUCAGGUAAUUUUAAAAAAAUAAAUUAUUAAAGGUAAAAAAUUAGUAAAAUUAGAUCAUGGUGCAGCUAAUAAAUAAGUUAAAAUGAGUUACAAUAAAUUAUUUUAUACGAAUAGAAAGAAGAAUUUUCUUUUYAGAAGGAGGAUUUGAUUGUAUUUUAAGUUUAAUAAGUUUAAAAGAUAGAAGCUCUAAAUUAUGUACAUAU
rnacentral:rRNA from 1 species